rnacentral:tRNA from 1 species
GGCUUCGUAGCUCAACUGUAUAGAGCACCACAUUACGGCUGUGGAGGUUUAAGGUUAGAAUCCUUACGAGGUCACAA